CAGACAGGCAUGUUGGAGCCACCUGGAGAGUUAAUCCAAAGGUAGCUAGGCCCAGUGAUGCCGUAUGUAGUCUUAGCAACUCAGGAGGCUGAGGCAGGAAGAUUGCAAGUUCAAGGUCAGGCCUAGGCAAUUCGACAAGAUCCUGUCUUAAAAUAAAAAAUAAAAAGGACUAGGGAGGAAGCUCAGUGUCAAUGGUAGAGUACCCCUGGAUUUAAUCCCCAGUACCAAAAACAUAAACAAAAAACAAAAAUCCAAAUGUGGCUGGGGAUGUAGCUUGGGGUAGAAUGCUUGUCUAGUAUUUGUGAGGAUAUAGGUUCAAUCUUCAGCAUAGAAAAAGAAAAAAAAAAUGUUGUUUAUUCAGUCUCAAUCAGACUACGAUUUCUUUUUUUCUUUUCUUUUCUUUCUUUUUUUUUUUUUUCUUUUGGUGCUGGGGAUCAAACCCAGGGCCUUGUGCAUACAAGAUGCUCUGCCAACUGAGCUAUAUCCCAGUCCCACAAUUUCCUUUUUUUAAAACAUUUUUUUUGUAGAUACAAUACCUUUAUUUUAUUUAUUUAUUUUUAUGUGGUGCUGAGGAUUGAACCCAGUACCUCGUACGUGCCAGGCCAGUGCUUUGCCACUGAGCCACAAUCCCAGCCCUCAGACUGCAAUUUCAAAGGGUCAUGGAUGAGUCUUGGGAAUCUGAAAUUUUCAAAAUUGCUCCUCCCCAGGGUGAGGUAGAAAUAGAGCCAGGAUACCAGUGUUUUAAUAAAUGUGCUCUCAGCUAACUCAAUUACUUUUAUCUUUUAUCACUUUGCACGGAUUUUGAUAUUUAUUAUAUUGAGGAUACAUCCUGUUAUUAAUAAAUGC
rnacentral:lncRNA from 1 species